CAGCGCGGGGCAACCUGGCGGCGAGCGGCGAACGGGUGAGUAAUGCAUCGGAACGUGUCCAUGUCGUGGGGGAUAGCCCGGCGAAAGCCGGAUUAAUACCGCAUACGCCCGAGAGGGGAAAGUGGGGGACCGCAAGGCCUCACGCGAUUGGUUCGGCCGAUGUCCGAUUAGCUAGUUGGCGGGGUAAAGGCCCACCAAGGCGAAGAUCGGUAGCUGGUCUGAGAGGAUGAUCAGCCACACUGGGACUGAGACACGGCCCAGACUCCUACGGGAGGCAGCAGUGGGGAAUUUUGGACAAUGGGGGCAACCCUGAUCCAGCCAUUCCGCGUGAGUGAAGAAGGCCUUCGGGUUGUAAAGCUCUUUUGUCCGGAACGAAACGGUGGACGUGAAUAUCGUCCACUACUGACGGUACCGGAAGAAUAAGCACCGGCUAACUACGUGCCAGCAGCCGCGGUAAUACGUAGGGUGCGAGCGUUAAUCGGAAUUACUGGGCGUAAAGCGUGCGCAGGCGGUUUUGUAAGCCAGAUGUGAAAUCCCCGGGCUUAACCUGGGAAUGGCAUUUGGGACUGCAAGGCUCGAGUGCGGCAGAGGAGACUGGAAUUCCUGGUGUAGCAGUGAAAUGCGUAGAUAUCAGGAGGAACACCGAUGGCGAAGGCAGGUCUCUGGGCUGACACUGACGCUCAUGCACGAAAGCGUGGGGAGCAAACAGGAUUAGAUACCCUGGUAGUCCACGCCCUAAACGAUGUCGACUGGUUGUUGGGGGUUUGACACUCUCAGUAA
rnacentral:rRNA from 1 species